UACAGAGGUCUCAAGCGUUGUUCGGAUUCAUUGGGCGUAAAGGGGUGCGUAGGCGGCGCGGUAAGUCGGGUGUGAAAUCUCGGAGCUUAACUCCGAAACUGCAUUCGAUACUGGCGUGCUUGAGGACUGGAGAGGAGACUGGAAUUCAUGGUGUAGCAGUGAAAUGCGUAGAGAUCAUGAGGAAGACCAGUGGCGAAGGCGGGUCUCUGGACAGUUCCUGACACUGAGACACGAAGGCCAGGGGAGCAAACGGG
rnacentral:rRNA from 1 species